rnacentral:tRNA from 1 species
GGGGACGUGGCUCAGUGGUAGAGCACGUGCCUAGCAAGCGUGAAGUGCUAGGUUCCAUCCCCA